AGAGCGAACGCUGGCGGCAGGCCUAAUACAUGCAAGUCGAACGAGCCCUUCGGGGCUAGUGGCGGACGGGUGAGUAACACGUGGGAACGUGCCUUUUGGUUCGGAACAACUCAGGGAAACUUGAGCUAAUACCGAAUGUGCCCUUCGGGGGAAAGAUUUAUCGCCAUUAGAGCGGCCCGCGUCUGAUUAGCUAGUUGGUGAGGUAAAGGCCCACCAAGGCUACGAUCAGUAGCUGGUCUGAGAGGAUGAUCAGCCACACUGGGACUGAGACACGGCCCAGACUCCUACGGGAGGCAGCAGUAGGGAAUCUUGCGCAAUGGGCGAAAGCCUGACGCAGCCAUGCCGCGUGAAUGAUGAAGGUCUUAGGAUUGUAAAAUUCUUUCAGCGGGGACGAUAAUGACGGUACCCGCAGAAGAAGCCCCGGCUAACUUCGUGCCAGCAGCCGC
rnacentral:rRNA from 1 species